rnacentral:rRNA from 1 species
UACAGAGGUGGCAAGCGUUGUUCGGAAUUACUGGGCGUAAAGGCGCGUAGGCGGCCAUCUAAGUCAGACGUGAAAUCCCCCGGCUUAACCUGGGAACUGCGUCUGAUACUGGACGGCUUGAGUUUGGGAGAGGGAUGCAGAAUUCCAGGUGUAGCGGUGAAAUGCGUAGAUAUCUGGAGGAAUACCGGUGGCGAAGGCGGGUCUCUGGGCAGUAACUGACGCUGAGGAGCGAAAGCGUGGGGAGCGAACAGG